UUUGUACUGUGAAACUGCGAAUGGCUCAUUAAAUCAGUUAUAGUUUAUUUGAUGGUAUCUUGCUACAUGGAUAACUGUGGUAAAUCUAGAGCUAAUACAUGCUUAAAAGCCCCGACUUCUGGAAGGGGUGUAUUUAUUAGAUAAAAACCAACCCUUCGGGUCCCUUGGUGAAUCAUAAUAACUUCUCGAAUCGCAUGGCCUUGCGCCGGCGAUGCUUCAUUCAAAUAUCUGCCCUAUCAACUGUCGAUGGUAGGAUAGAGGCCUACCAUGGUUGCAACGGGUAACGGGGAAUAAGGGUUCGAUUCCGGAGAGGGAGCCUGAGAAACGGCUACCACAUCCAAGGAAGGCAGCAGGCGCGCAAAUUACCCAAUCCCGACACGGGGAGGUAGUGACAAUAAAUAACAAUAUAGGGCUUUUAUAGGUCUUAUAAUUGGAAUGAGUACAAUUUAAAUCCCUUACGAGGAACAAUUGGAGGGCAAGUCUGGUGCCAGCAGCCGCGGUAAUUCCAGCUCCAAUAGCGUAUAUUAAAGUUGUUGCAGUUAAAAAGCUCGUAGUUGAACUUCAGGCCUGGCCGGUCGGUCCGCUUCACAGCGUGUACUGCUUGGCCGGGCCUUCCCUCUAGGUGAUCCGGCAUGCUCUUUACUGGGUGUGUCGGG
rnacentral:rRNA from 1 species